rnacentral:rRNA from 1 species
UACGGAGGGUGCAAGCGUUAUCCGGAUUCACUGGGGUUAAAGGGUGCGUAGGAGGGUAGGUAAGUCAGUGGUGAAAUCUUCGAGCUUAACUCGGAAACUGCCGUUGAUACUAUCUAUCUUGAAUACCGUGGAGGUGAGCGGAAUAUGUCAUGUAGCGGUGAAAUGCUUAGAUAUGACAUAGAACACCAAUUGCGAAGGCAGCUCGCUACACGAAUAUUGACUCUGAGGCACGAAAGCGUGGGGAUCAAACAGG